rnacentral:ncRNA from 2 species
AACAGACAGCCCACGUGGGCCAAAAUCACCCAAACAGUCCACGGGAAGGGCCAGAGUGCUGAGUCCAAAGCUGAAAAUUAAAGGAAUUGACGGAAGGGCACCACCAGGAGUGGAGCCUGCUGCUUAAUUUGACUCAACACGGGGAAACUUACCAGGUCCAGACAUAGUAAGGAUUGACAGACUGAGAGAUCUUUCUUGAUUCUAUGGGUGGUGGUGCAUGGCCGUUCUUAGUUGGUGGAGCGAUUUGUCUGGUUAAUUGCGUUAACGAACGAGACCUCAGCCUGCUAACUAGCUACGUGGAGGCAUCCCUUCACGGCCGGCUUCUUAGAGGGACUAUGGCCGUUAAGGCCAAGGAAGUUUGAGGCAAUAACAGGUCUGUCAUGCCCUUAGAUGUUAUGGGCCGCAAGCGCACUACACUGAUGUAUUCAACGGGUUCACACCUUGGCAGACAGGACCGGGUAAUCUUUGAAAUUUCAUCGUGAUGGGGAUAGAUCAUUGCAAUUGUUGGUCUUCAACGAGGAAUUCUUAGUAAGCACGAGUCAUCAGCUUGCGUUGACUACGUCCCUGCCCUUUGUACACACCACCCGUCGCUCCUACCGAUUAAAUGAUCUGGUGAAGUGUUCGGAUCGCGGCGAUGUGGGUGGUUUGCCGUCUGUGACAUCGCGAGAAGUCCACUAAACCUUAUCAUUUAGAGGAAGGAUAAGUCGUAACAAUGUUUCUGUAGGUGAACCUGCAGAAGGAUCAUUG